rnacentral:rRNA from 1 species
AAGGUUAACCGAAUAGGGAAGCCGUAGAGAAAUCGAGUCCGAAUAGGGCGUUCAGUCGCUGGGUGUAGACCCGAAACCAAGUGAUCUAUCCAUGGCCAGGAUGAAGGUGAGGUAACACUUACUGGAGGUCCGAACCGACUAGUGUUGCAAAACUAGCGGAUGAGCUGUGGAUAGGGGUGAAAGGCUAAACAAACUUGGAAAUAGCUGGUUCUCUCCGAAAACUAUUUAGGUAGUGCCUCAAGUAUUACCAUCGGGGGUAGAGCACUGUUAUGGCUAGGGGGUCAUGGCGACUUACCAAACCAUUGCAAACUCCGAAUACCGAUGAGUACAGCUUGGGAGACAGUGCACCGGGUGCUAACGUCCGGACACAAGAGGGAAACAACCCAGACCGCCAGCUAAGGUCCCCAAAAUUGGCUAAGUGGGAAACGAAGUGGGAAGGCUAAAACAGUCAGGAUGUUGGCUUAGAAGCAGCCAUCAUUUAAAGAAAGCGUAAUAGCUCACUGAUCGAGUCGUCCUGCGCGGAAGCUGUAACGGGGCUAAGCCAGUUACCGAAGCUGCGGAUGUGCAAUUUAUUGCACGUGGUAGGAGAGCGUUCUGUACGCCUGUGAAGGUGGCUUGUGAAGGCUGCUGGAGGUAUCAGAAGUGCGAAUGCUGACAUGAGUAGCGUUAAAGGGGGUGAAAAGCCCCCUCGCCGAAAGCGCAAGGUUUCCUACGCAACGUUCAUCGGCGUAGGGUGAGUCGGCCCCUAAGGCGAGGCAGAGAUGCGUAGCUGAUGGGAAACAGGUCAAUAUUCCUGUACCGAUAUGUAGUGCGAUGUGGGGACGGAGAAGGUUAACUCAGCCGGGUGUUGGAUGUCCCGGUUCAAGCAUGUAGGCGUGCCCUCUAGGCAAAUCCGGAGGGCUUAGCUGAGGUGUGAUAACGAGGCGGCUUGCCGCUGAAGUGAGUGAUACCCUGCUUCCAGGAAAAGCCACUAAGCUCCAGCUACAUACGACCGUACCGCAAACCGACACUGGUGCGCGAGAUGAGUAUUCUAAGGCGCUUGAGAGAACUCUGGAGAAGGAACUCGGCAAAUUGACACCGUAACUUCGGAAGAAGGUGUGCCUUUAGUAGGUGAUCCAUUUACUUGGUGAGCCCAAUGAGGCCGCAGAGAAUCGGUGGCUGCAACUGUUUAUUAAAAACACAGCACUCUGCAAAGACGAAAGUCGACGUAUAGGGUGUGACGCCUGCCCGGUGCUGGAAGAUUAAAUGAUGGGGUGCAAGCUCUUGACUGAAGUCCCAGUAAACGGCGGCCGUAACUAUAACGGUCCUAAGGUAGCGAAAUUCCUUGUCGGGUAAGUUCCGACCUGCACGAAUGGCGUAAUGAUGGCCACACUGUCUCCUCCAGAGACUCAGCGAAGUUGAAAUGUUUGUGAUGAUGCAAUCUCCCU